rnacentral:rRNA from 1 species
CAGUCACCACGGUAAUACAGAGGGUGCGAGCGUUAAUCGGAUUUACUGGGCGUAAAGCGUGCGUAGGCGGCUUCUUAAGUCGGAUGUGAAAUCCCUGAGCUUAACUUAGGAAUUGCAUUCGAUACUGGGAAGCUAGAGUAUGGGAGAGGAUGGUAGAAUUCCAGGUGUAGCGGUGAAAUGCGUAGAGAUCUGGAGGAAUACCGAUGGCGAAGGCAGCCAUCUGGCCUAAUACUGACGCUGAGGUACGAAAGCAUGGGGAGCAAACAGGAUUAGAUACCCCCGUAGUCCCUGUCUCUUAUAC